UACGUAGGGGGCAAGCGUUAUCCGGAUUUACUGGGUGUAAAGGGAGCGUAGACGGCCAGACAAGUCAGAAGUGAAAGCCCAGGGCUCAACCCUGGGACUGCUUUGGAAACUGUGUAACUGGAGUACAGGAGGGGCAGGCGGAAUUCCUGGUGUAGCGGUGAAAUGCGUAGAUAUCAGGAGGAACACCGGCGGCGAAGGCGGCCUGCUGGACUGAAACUGACGUUGAGGCUCGAAAGCGUGGGGAGCAAACAGG
rnacentral:rRNA from 1 species